CCUACGGGGGGCUGCAGUUUCGAAUCAUUCACAAUGGGCGAAAGCCUGAUGGUGCGACGCCGCGUGAGGGAUGAAGGCCUUCGGGUUGUAAACCUCUGUCACUGGGGAAGAAACGCUUCAAGUUAAUAGCUUGAAGCCUGACUUAACCCAGAGAGGAAGCAGUGGCUAACUCUGUGCCAGCAGCCGCGGUAGUACAGAGACUGCAACAGUGAGUCGGAUGCACUGGCCGUCGAGGGUGCGCAGGCGGCCUGAAAGCCCGGGGCUUAACCUCGGAAUUGCGCCUAAAACUACACGGCUAGAGCAUUGGAGAGGGUAGCGGAAUUCACGGUGUAGCAGUGAAAUGCGUAGAUAUCGUGAGGAACACCAGAGGCGAAGGCGGCUACCUGGACAAUUGCUGACGCUCAGGCACGAAAGCGUGGGGAGCAAAAGGGAUUAGAUACCCUAGUAGUC
rnacentral:rRNA from 1 species